rnacentral:rRNA from 1 species
ACAGUGGACGCGAGCAUCUGUGGCCAAGUUUUUAAGGGCGCACGGUGGAUGCCUUGGCACCAGGAACCGAUGAA